AGAAACUAAAAUCUUCAAAGUCUCCACUCUAUACUUCAUGGAAACUCUCUUGUCAGGAACUCCCUCCUACAAAUCCAGACAUGUGGAAGUUCAGCACAGGAAGUCAGUCUGCCAUGGCUCCAGGCACUGUUAAUCACUUUAAAAUGAUCAUUAAAAAGCAGCAGCAGCAAAAGGAUGCAGCUCUGGUGAGGUCUGGAUCUCCACUGUUUCUGCAGGAACUGAGCCCUACAUUACCUCCUUUCCCACCUCCCCAGAAAAUAACCUCCACUCUAGCAAGGAGGAGAGGAUGAAUGUAGACAAAACAUUUUCACACUAGAGAAAUGCAGAUCCUUUGCCUUCAGUCCACUUGGAGGCAAAGGCUUCGGAGGCUGCCUGUCACCACUCUGGAGCCUGUGCCGCCUGGACCAGUGUCUCAAGGGGAUGCUCUGUGCCCAGGUAGCCCCUCAUUAGGUUGCCACCACUUCCUAUAAAGGAGAAACUCAUAGCCUGGCAGCAUGGCUGUGCUAGGCAGCACAAGACUAUACCCACUGCCAGGAGACAGUGAAACUUUCAAUCACAAAUACGUGUAUUUUUAAAAAAGCAUGAGAAUAACUAAUAGCUGAUGACCUUACAGAACAAACAACAAAUAUUUGCAUAUUAGCCUGCACUUAACUUUACAAUUCAGUCUUGCACUCUUUUGUUUCACUUAUUUUUUUUGCUUCUUGCUUCAUUGCAAAGCAUUGAGCUGGACUGCUUGGCAACUAAUUCACAGCAGUAGUUGCUAAGAAACCAUCCAAGAAAGUAGAUUAGUCUCCAGUAACCUGCUUCAUUGUUAGAGAUGUUUAUUUUGCAUAAAAGCAGUAGCUGUAUACAAAGGGCUUUAUUGAAUUUGGAUGAACAAGCAAACCAUGC
rnacentral:lncRNA from 1 species